rnacentral:rRNA from 1 species
GACGAACGCUGGCGGCGUGCCUAAUACAUGCAAGUAGAACGCUGAAGGAGGAGCUUGCUUCUCUGGAUGAGUUGCGAACGGGUGAGUAACGCGUAGGUAACCUGCCUGGUAGCGGGGGAUAACUAUUGGAAACGAUAGCUAAUACCGCAUAAUAUUGACUAUUGCAUGAUAGUCAGUUGAAAGGUGCAACUGCACCACUACCAGAUGGCCCUGCGUUGUAUUAGCUAGUUGGUGGGGUAACGGCUCACCAAGGCGACGAUACAUAGCCGACCUGAGAGGGUGAUCGGCCACACUGGGACUGAGACACGGCCCAGACUCCUACGGGAGGCAGCAGUAGGGAAUCUUCGGCAAUGGACGGAAGUCUGACCGAGCAACGCCGCGUGAGUGAAGAAGGUUUUCGGAUCGUAAAGCUCUGUUGUAAGAGAAGAACGAGUGUGAGAGUGGAAAGCUCACACUGUGACGGUAUCUUACCAGAAAGGGACGGCUAACUACGUG